rnacentral:rRNA from 1 species
UACGUAGGGGGCAAGCGUUGUCCGGAAUCAUUGGGCGUAAAGCGCACGUAGGCGGCCCUGUAAGUCCGUUGUGAAAGUCAAAGGCUCAACCUUUGAAUGCCGAUGGAUACUGCAGGGCUAGAGUCCGGAAGAGGAGAGUGGAAUUCCUGGUGUAGCGGUGAAAUGCGCAGAUAUCAGGAAGAACACCCGUGGCUAAGGCGGCUCUCUAGUACGGUACUGACGCUGAGACGCGAAAGCGUGGGGAGCGAACAGG